GAUGAACGCUGGCGGCGUGCCUAAUACAUGCAAGUCGAGCGAACAGACGAGGAGCUUGCUCCUCUGACGUUAGUGGCGGACGGGUGAGUAACACGUGGAUAACCUACCUAUAAGACUGGGAUAACUUCGGGAAACCGGAGCUAAUACCGGAUAAUAUAUUGAACCGCAUGGUUCAAUAGUGAAAGACGGUUUUGCUGUCACUUAUAGAUGGAUCCGCGCCGCAUUAGCUAGUUGGUAAGGUAACGGCUUACCAAGGCAACGAUGCGUAGCCGACCUGAGAGGGUGAUCGGCCACACUGGAACUGAGACACGGUCCAGACUCCUACGGGAGGCAGCAGUAGGGAAUCUUCCGCAAUGGGCGAAAGCCUGACGGAGCAACGCCGCGUGAAUGAUGAAGGUCUUCGGAUCGUAAAACUCUGUUAUUAGGGAAGAACAAAUGUGUAAGUAACUAUGCACGUCUUGACGGUACCUAAUCAGAAAGCCACGGCUAACUACGUG
rnacentral:rRNA from 1 species